GACGAACGCUGGAGGCGUGCUUAACACAUGCAAGUCGAACGAUGAAAUGGAGCUUGCUCCAUGGAUUAGUGGCGAACGGGUGAGUAACACGUGAAUAACCUGCCCUUAAUUUUGGAAUAACCCAGGGAAACCUGGGCUAAUACCGGAUAAGUAAACCUGUGGCACCACAUGGUUUUGGAAAGUUUUUCGAUUAAGGAUGGAUUCGCGGCCUAUCAGCUUGUUGGUGAGGUAAUGGCUCACCAAGGCGACGACGGGUAGCCGGCCUGAGAGGGUGAACGGCCACACUGGGACUGAGACACGGCCCAGACUCCUACGGGAGGCAGCAGUGGGGAAUAUUGCGCAAUGGACGAAAGUCUGACGCAGCGACGCCUCGUGAGGGACGAAGGUCUUCGGAUUGUAAACCUCUUUCAGCAGGGACGAAGCGAAGGUGACGGUACCUGCAGAAGAAGCACCGGCUAACUAUGUGCCAGCCGCCGCCGUAA
rnacentral:rRNA from 1 species